rnacentral:rRNA from 1 species
AAUCGUUGCCCCAAUGCCUUGGCCACGUGCUAGACAUUGAGUGGGGCGAAUGUUGGCUUCCCGCGAGUAUCGUCUCACGGUUGGUUGAAAACUGAGUCUGUGGUGGAGGUCGCCGUGAUGGAUGGUGGCUGAGUUAAAGCUCGAGACCGAUCGUGCGUGUGACCCCCACCAGAUUUGUGACUCUGUGACCCAUGGGGUCUGUUGGCCGCCUAAGACGGGA